GAAGAUCACUUUUUUGCCAGAAUGUUCAGAAUGUGACCUGUUGAUAGACCAGUGUCAGUACUUGAAGACUCUCAUUCCGGGAGGCCGUUUGUCUUAGCUUGUAUCUUUGAUAUGUAUGUUGAGAAUCACCUCCAGGCUUGUUGGAUGGGAUUCAUUGUUGUACUCCGAUUGUUUGGAUUUUCUUUGUCGACUUUGUUGUAUGAUCCUGUUACUCAUAUAGAUGAGGUUGUUGGUUU
rnacentral:lncRNA from 1 species